GAAUUUGAGGGUGACCUGGCUCUGACAAGCCACCCCACUGAUCACCAGUGUUUUUUUCAACUGAUCUUACUGGCUUGCUGGGUGUCCUUUUUCUCCUCCACAGUUCCUUGUCUGUCCUUCCUGAAGCAGAAUUCUCAGUCAAAAAGGACACCUUUUUUAAAUGUUAAUGAAUUUUCUCUGUCAAUUUCUGUUUAGGUUAAGUAUCAACUUUCUAGUUUAUCUAAACCUCCUAAGAAUUGAAAAAUAGCACUAGAAAGUUAAUAAUAGGGAUAAGAAAAUUAUCUCCCUUUGAG
ensembl:misc_RNA 7SK 7SK RNA